UGUUAAAGGGGAAUUCAGUGCCAAAGUGUAAAUGAAUACUGAAGGGCCCAGUAGAGAGCUCUUUGUAAACGGCACCAGCUUCCUGCUUUGUGCUGUCUUUUAGGAGGAAGAGGAGAGGAAGAAGGAAGAGAAGGAAAAGGGGAAGAAGAGGUAGGGGGAGAAAGAGAAAAAGACACAAGGAAAUAUUAUUCUAUGCCUAAGAGAAUCAGCCAUGAAGAACGUUUCAAAUACUAAGCGGGGACACUCGAGGAAGGAAAAUAACCACGGUGUUUGGGGACACAGAGCUUUUACCGUUUGUACGGUCAAGUUUAGGAGUCCUGUUGUUAACUGCCUCCCUGUCACAUGAAGAAAGGAAGACUUGUGAUGUCAAAGCAAACAGGACUGAUUUGAUUGGUGAGGCUCCACAAAAGGAAACCCGCCUGCUGCCCCCGCCACCGCUGGGAAUGUGGCUAGAGCCGUGGAGGGGCAGGGUGACUUGCCAGGGGCAGGGUGGCUUGCCAGGCUGGAGGGGCAACUGCUGGCCACUGCCUAGCAGCCCUCACCUGCGCAGCCACUCUAGGAAGCCAGAACAAGCACGCUCAAGGGGGACGGAGGCCGAGGAGGCCACGUGACUCUGCAGUCGGCCCCUUUGCUUCCCAGCUCUGAGACUGGACGUGAGGUCCACGGGAACGCAGCAGGAGCGAGCGAGCGAGGACCUGCAGGGCAGACCUCGGCUGGGAGCUCGGAAGCUCAGGCUAUAAGCUGCUGGUCCGGCCAUUUCUUGUGCAAACCCCAUUCUCAUCCUUCUCUCUCUCAGUGACCUUUGCCCUAUCAUCCUCCUUCUAGUCUCUACCUCUUCUGAUUAGCAGGGCACAUCUGGGCUGGCCCCGCUCACACCUGUUUUGGGAUCCCAUGAAAUACAACGGUGCCCGAUGUCCCAUCCGGUUCUACUCUGGCACCGUCUGAAUUAGCUCACAUUCCUGUCACCUACACGUGUAAGCUCCAACCAGAUUGACAGAUACUGUCCUGCAGGUUUCCCCUUUCUCUGCCUGGACCCAUCGAACCACACCCACUCUUGAGAGACUCCUAGUGCAAAGGUCAACAAAGUCGUCCAGAAAGGUUAAAUCAGGUGUCCUGUUUCCUUUCCCAUGCCUCCCCAUGCCAGCGUUAGUCAGCUUCCUGUCACCGUAACAAAAUAACCCAACAAGUUCUAUAAAGAGACGGUUUGCUUGCCUAGCAAUUUUGAGUGUUUUAGCUCUGGGCUCAAUCAGCCCCACUACUUCGGGUCUGUGCAAGGUGACAGUCAGGAGAGCAUGGCAGUGACAUCAGGAGUCGGAGCCAAGCAGAACAAGAACCCGGACCCUCCCAACACCCUUCAUGGGAAAGGCAUGCCCAACAAUAGCCAAGCUGUAGUAGUGCCCAACCAGAAAGUUCUCCCCUUUUCUCUGGUCGCCACACUUCCUUGGAGACGAUGUUUUUUGUGUAUGUAACACUCUUUGCCUAGUGUCUGUCUUCCCCCUAGUCUGUGCACUCUUUGAGAACAACAUGGCACCUUUAAAUAAUCUUACACCUGUGCCCUCUAGGUCACCUCACACAGCAGGUGCUAAAUAAUGCACAAUAUGACACAUAGUGAAUGCUAAAUAAUACAGGACGAGUGAGUGAGUGAACCACUGACUACUUGCCC